rnacentral:rRNA from 1 species
UACGAAGGGGGCUAGCGUUGUUCGGAAUUACUGGGCGUAAAGCGCACGUAGGCGGACAUUUAAGUCAGGGGUGAAAUCCCAGAGCUCAACUCUGGAACUGCCUUUGAUACUGGGUGUCUUGAGUAUGGAAGUAGGUGAGUGGAAUUCCGAGUGUAGAGGUGAAAUUCGUAGAUAUUCGGAGGAACACCAGUGGCGAAGGCGGCUCACUGGUCCAUUACUGACGCUGAGGUGCGAAAGCGUGGGGAGCAAACAGG